UACGAAGGGUGCAAGCGUUAAUCGGAAUUACCGGGCGUAAAGGGUGCGUAGGCGGUUCGGUAAGUCUGUCGUGAAAUCCCCGGGCUCAACCUGGGAAUGGCGAUGGAUACUGGCGAGCUAGAGUGUGUCAGAGGAUGGUGGAAUUCCCGGUGUAGCGGUGAAAUGCGUAGAGAUCGGGAGGAACAUCAGUGGCGAAGGCGGCCAUCUGGGACAACACUGACGCUGAAGCACGAAAGCGUGGGGAGCAAACAGG
rnacentral:rRNA from 1 species